rnacentral:snRNA from 1 species
NGGCGAGGCUUAUCCAUUGCAUUCCGGAUGUGCUGACCCCUGCGAUUUCCCCAAAUGUAGGAAACUCA